rnacentral:lncRNA from 1 species
UCGGUCAGACAGACCUUACUACGUUGCAGAAAAUUUAGUAGGAAAAACGCAGGAUCUAAAAGGUGCCUACAACGAUAUUCUUAUAUUAAUCAUUAGACUAGAUGUAAAAUAUCGAUUCGUAGGGAAAGUAAACCAAGACUUAAAAUCCAAGGAGAAGAGAAAACAGAAAUAUUAUGAAAGCAUGUGUCUAUAUGGCACGACAUUUAGCCUGCCUCAUGACGUCAGAGCACUGAGGGGUAUAUAAAUGCUGCUCAGCCACAGUCCCAGCUUAGCCACCUCUCUAUCAGUCGCAGGUUCCUCAAAACGAAGCAUCAGACUUGAUAGGAAGCUCCUGUGAAGAAGAAACGUUUGCUCUCAGUUAUUUAGCGUUUGUUAAGAAGACAUAUUUGAAAGUACGUCUGUAACUUUCGUCCGAAGGACAGUCUCCCACACCACACCCUCGGUGCAACUAUCCUCCCAAGCUUCGCAAAGAGACCCACGACCGCAGACGAGAUGAAGCAGUUUGACAUGGCCGAUCCCAGCUACUUCCUGUCGCAGGUGCAGAAGAAAUCCUCGCCUGUGGCCAAGGAGCCCCGAGAUAACUCCCCCAACCUGACGCACUCUAUCAAGGACCUCUGGGGCUCCUGGGUGAAUGCAGGGAACCUUUCUGCAGGACAUCAAAAGAGAGUCGUCUACCCAGGGACGUGGAAUCAAGACCUGGCGUUUUCUCGGAGUUAAGAGAGGGUAGACUCUACUAUUGAUUAGAAAGACGGAUUUAUAUCUUUACAACGAGCCGGUAUGACGCCAGGCUAUAUUCCUGAGGAAGUCGGCGCCUCUUUCAAAAUCUGCCAGUUGAAUAAUGAGGAUCCGCCUUCGACUAAGCGAAAGAAGUUAAUACAUGUAACGAGAAGACCCAUUCUGAAACGUGUCGAGGAGGAACGUGGAGUGUGUCUGAUCUCAUCCAACAUGAAGUCUUCAUCGGUAUGAGGCAUCCUACUUCUCAGAACAGCUAUUUUUCCUCUCUAAGAUGCUAUGGCAGUAAAGAUUGCAUGUCAGCCGCGUAUGACAGUUAGUGCUUCGAUAGUGCUGUUUGAUCUUCGCAUAGAUGCCCAAGUCGUACUUGUGAUAUUCAAUUACAUUAAUUGUAUUUCAUUUAAGAUACUGUGUAACAUAUUAAUAUAUAUUUACUAUUUUAUACUAUUUCUAUACUUUACUGAGAUAUAUUUUUAUACGGACCAGCUUCUGAUAUGUCUGGAGUUUUACGUUGAAAUAUAAUAUUUAGAGGCAAA